GCUCUCCUCCUCUGGUCACGACCUUACUUGAACAGGAUCUGUUCUAUAGGCUCGUACAACCGUAUCCUUGAUUGUAAAGGAGACGGGUAACUCAGUCUGGUUGAUGACGCCAGACCUCAGGGCCAGAGCGUGAUUGACGGCAAGGAUCUUUCAAAGAUCUCGUGCUGUAGAGGAUCGUUCUCAUGCGAUCAACCGUCGCCUGGGAUGGCCCUGAGGUGGUCUGACGGACUCCCCUUCUUUUUUUUUGUCAUAUUUUUGAUUAAUUCUUGUUCCCAGGUUAGCAAACUAUAACCACCUAAAUUCUCUUACUCUUGUUUAUUUGCUGGGAUUCUAGGGUUUACUUUUAAUGAGGAAGAUGACGGCUGAUUUAUUGCCACAGGUAUCUGCCCUGAGGGUUUACUUUUAACGAGGAAGAUGGCGGCAGAUUUAUUGCCACAGGCAGCUGCAUACUGUACCCCCAUGUUCUAUCUUAAUGGCAAUGCUCACUGGUUCAUAGUUCCAAAAUCUCAGUUGUUGAUUUCUGUAACAUAUGAUGCUUUCAUUAUCCUAUGUUAUAUGCGAUAAGCAUGAAAGAAGAGAAGGAAAUAUGAAAAUAGGGUUUAUAACACGAAGGUGUUUGAUAUCAGGUCUAGCAGAAUGGCACAGAAUGCAAAUUCUGGAUAUGGACUCACAAAGUGUUUCUCACAUGCCAAAACACCUUCCACAAAGUUUGAAGAUCUGCAAUCUCAUGCGACUUUCCGCAUUCAGUCCUGUGGAUCUUAGUUAAGUGAUCCACGCUCCAUGUACUCAUCGUACUUUCAACAUUUUAUUGAAGCAGAAUCCAAAAGAGCCUGACCAAAUUGAUAUGGUAAGUUCUUCAAUUAUACCAACUCUUGCGUGAAUUGCUCCUCGGCUGUUUGGAAGACCUUAACUGCCACCUUCGGAUGUCCCCAACGAACUUCUUGGUCGGUUCCAUUUCAAUGGUUGAGUCCUUGCGCAUUGCAGAAAUCAGUUAUGUAGUUGUGAUGGUGCCAAUGUCUGUCUUCUUCGAAGCAUUUAUUGACUGCAUUUUGAUGUUAUGGACACCCCUGAUGAUCGGUGUGGCUAUCACAACUAGCACGGUGCCACCUGCAACUAUCAUCACUGUAGAAAUUGACAAAUUAUACAGUGAGAAUUCAAAACAUGGAAGAAGAGUUCUCAUGGAAUUGGUAUCGAGAUAGGGAGUUGGCUGACGAAUUGUGGUAGCAGCCUCGCCAACGGUCAGGCCAUCUGAAUUUGAUCAAGGGGGAAUGUUGCUUGGAGAACUUGGCAUAUCUUUAGGAGUUGACAAAGUGAGUUUGGAGAGGCAAGUACUAUAGGAUUUGCUGUUGUCAUCCUCAAGAUCCAACUGUUGAUUCAUAAACACAUCCCUUAAUAUGGGCUUUGUUAUGCUUGGAUUCCACGAAUAAUUGUGUGGAUUAAUUGAAGCCGCUUAGUCAGCAAGGUUUCCUCCUCUUUUAACCAGCAAUGGUAGCAUCUCAGAACACUGGAGUGAAGAGGAGAUAAAAACCAGCAUAGUUGAGUUAGCUAUGCAGAUGAUAUGAACUGGGUUUUGGUGAAAUGAUUGUUGACCUCAAAGAAGAAUCACAAAUUACUUGUGAUCGCUUCCAUUCUAAGCCCAAAUAUAUGUGUCAAGUUUAGAGGGAAGAGAAAGAAUGAACCAUGGCCAGAGGCAAGACCUACCGGCUUGAUCCGUGUUGCAGAAAUCAAAGGUACUUGCUAAAUCUUUACGUGCCCAAUCUAGAAGCUAAUGCUUUUAGAUCAAAGACUCUAACUCAUGAAGGAAAUAUGAGAUAAUACAACUGCUUUCUUUCACCUAAAUCACGAUAGGGACUGGAAACUACAGCAGCUGGAAGACAAGAGUUCCACUCUACAGUUUCUUCAGUUUCUGGACGAAGUCAAAAUAACAAAACGCUUCAAGCGAUCGAGCAGCCUCUUUUGGUCACAAGACAUGGCUAUUAAUGAAGAUUAGACAAAGGUUUGGGGUGAAAUUGGAAAGGAAAUCAAAUUUGAGCUUAAUAGCGUUCAAAUACAGUGGCGGUUUUCCUAAUCCCUGAUUGUUAAGCGAUCUUGCAAUAAGUCUCUGCAUAGGAUAUUUAGCUA